GUUAUCCCCACCACCGCCGCUUCUCGGCUACGCGCACCAUCUUCCCCCUGUUAUAAAUACACCACCGCGGUACCGGUGUGCAGCAUUCGAUUAGGAAUGGCUCCGAUCUAAUUUCAAGCUUCUUUAAUUUAUAAUCUCGCGUUCGAGAUGAAACUCGAUCUUUUUUUGCAGGUUACUUCUUCGGGAUUAAAAGAUGUCUUAAAGUAAGAAUAAGCUUUUGAAAGAAGCGUAUGAGCAAUUGCCUAUUAUAAAGUUGAAGAAUUGAUAAUUAAAAUUAUUUAACAUUGGAAACACCAACAAUUAGGACGUAAAGUUUAUGUAAAAGGAGUGAAAAUGAAAGGUAUAUAAGGAAAUAUAUAAUAAAGAAAUUAAUGGAAUUCAUCAUAUUGUAUCAUAUUAAGCUCACACCUGCAAUAAGGAUUCCAGAGUUAAGGAAUGCUACAAAUGCGUGAACGUUAUUUUGAAGUUAUCGAUCUUCGCAACUAGAAGAUUCUUUCGUAAAGAUUUCGAAAGCGUGAUUUCGCCUGGAUAACUGUUUUGUGCAAGACAUUUGCACAUGCGCGACCAGCUUGAUUCCGUUCCUACUUUCCACCGGCCUCGAAUCUGGUAUAUCCUCACUUCCUUUAUCCCCACUGCAUCUAGCUAAGCGCGUGUGCGGUCGACACGUCAAUUAUAUCUGAAUCGAAGGCGACGUCUCAUCGUGAUUACGCCGCAAAAUAAAGGCAACCUGACUUUUCUUUAAUGGGUUCGGGGGUUCAUAGUUUGCACCAUUUUUCGCUAUCAUGAUCGUACAGUGAUCGUUAGAUAAAUUUGAGACCUUAAUAGCAGAUAAUGAACUCGUUUCCAUAGAAAAUUGCUGCACUUUGAUUGUUUAAUUUAACUUUGUCUUAAGUUAAACACCAUGUACUUAUUGGAUUGAACAGUCUAUUUUCGUUUAAGAAUUUGUUAGAUGUACAUUGGCCUAUAUACUGCCUAUGAGUAAUUCAACUAAACCAUAGAAAUAAACUUUUAUCUUUCUUAUACCAGUUCUAAAGGAAUUGAGCAUUAUCUGCAGCCAGUGACAAGCACCGAACUAACUUUUUCAUGUAAUCAGAAAGCAACAAAGUAGUGAUGUAAUUUCGCGGCAUUCCGCAUAACUCGUUCACAAUACACCGUUUUAUCAUUAGCCGUUGGGAACAGAAGCGUAGGACUCCGCGAUUUAUGAAUGAUUCGGAGGAGUGAAUGAACGGGGUCGACGCAUGCGCACCAUCGGCCAGAUUCCAUUCCCAUUCCGAUCUCGCCUCUAUUCUCUGCUUUAUCCUUUUGCCGCGCUCUGCGUAGGUACUGCGAACGCACAACAGCUGUAGAAUUUAUAAAAAGAUCUGUUCGACCGACCGAUGAAACCCUUAUCAAGGUCUUUCCACCAUUAUGGAGGUGUUAGUGGAAGGAAGGAAGAACGCGUGUUUCUUUCACCGUUACGGAAAUAUUUACACAACCAUGUGCAAACCAACUUACGCCAGGGUAAAUUAGAUUGCUGUCGGCUUUGUCAUUUCACCAACCGACAAGUGAGAUUUUCCUUGGCACUGAUAAUGCCGUGAUACUGUUACUUUUCCCACAUAGCUUUUGCCUGACUGUCCUAAAUAAUCAACUUUUUUUUCGUUAAAUCUAUAGACAUAGAUACUGUUGAAUUAACAGAGGCCUCAUUUUUUCGUUCUUUUGGUAACAAA